UACGAGGGGAGCUAGCGUUGUUCGGAAUUACUGGGCGUAAAGCGCACGUAGGCGGUUUUUUAAGUCAGAGGUGAAAGCCUGGUGCUCAACACCAGAACGGCCUUUGAAACUGGAAAACUUGAAUCUUGGAGAGGUCAGUGGAAUUCCGAGUGUAGAGGUGAAAUUCGUAGAUAUUCGGAAGAACACCAGUGGCGAAGGCGACUGACUGGACAAGUAUUGACGCUGAGGUGCGAAAGCGUGGGGAGCAAACAGG
rnacentral:rRNA from 1 species